UGCGAGCGGUUCAAUCAGACCCUAUUGAACUUACUCGGCACGCUAGACCAAGAACAUCAGAGCGACUGGGUGAGUGCGCUACCAAAUCUGGUUCAGGCCUACAAUAAUAGUACGCACAGUACCACGGGCUACGCCCCCACUUAUUUGAUGUUUGGCAGGCAUGUGCGGAUGCCCACCGACUUAUUGCUGGGGACGGCAGCAACCGAGGAGGAGGGGAACGUAACCGAAUGGGUGAGGCGCCACCACCAACGCCUCCAUUUUGCAUACGAGCAAGUCUCGGGACGGAUCCGAGCGGCUGGGAAGAAAAACAAGAGGCUGUACGACCGGACGGCUCGGGAAGCCCCCCUUCUCCCAGGAGAAAGGGUCCUGGUAAGGGACAACCGGCGACAAGGGAAGGGGAAGCUCAGUGACCGAUGGGAGAAUGCACCAUACGUGGUCGAGGGCCAGCAGCGGCCUGGACAGCCAGUAUAUACAAUUCGGCCCGAAGGAAAAGCCGGGCCCGCUAGAGUGGUCCAUCGGAACAUGAUCCGCCCCUGUCCGAACUAUCCCAGCCCCGUAGAGGAGGCGCCAAAGGAGCCUGAAGCUGUAGCCCCGUGGAUAGCAGGAUGGGCCGUGAUCCCAGGAGAACGGGGAAAUGUCCCCGCAGAAAUGGCCCCCAGAGACCCGAUGGAUAUGCCUGCGGACAUCGACCCUGUCUCGCCACCACGACGGUCCCAGAGGGAGAACCGAGGUCGGCCCCCGGCACGCUAUGGAGAAUGGGCGACUGAAAGGCGUUCUAGGGACUAGAACGGUUUGGCAGGGGGGUAUGUCACGGGGUGACGAAAGAGAAGCGGAACUAAGUCCCGCCGGAAUUUUGUGUUCCCCUCGGGACGGUGUCGCGGUAACACCGGUCCACUUCCGGGUUGCGCCCGAUGUCACAAUAACAACGCUAAUGACCGAUUGACAUCUGGUGUGGGGAGUUUGAUGUGGCGAUCUGUGAGAGGAUUAUGGAGGCGGAGUAACCACAUAAAAAGAGAAGUGCAGAGACCAUACAGGGUUGAUUUCUUUUUGGUCGUUCGUUCUCCCGGCUAUUCUUCCUGGUUGGCUUGCCCCCGUGUGUGGUUCUUCUCUUUGGAUAUGUUCCCCUAGGAGAGGUGAAUUCCUGGGACGUUUGGGCUGGCGUGUGGAGGUGUUUGAGGACUAUUGUGGGGUUUCGGCUAUCUGGCUGUGCAACAGAUAUAUCAGCGAUCGAGUGGAGAUAUUCAGGACAGAAAGAGUGUGAGUUCUGGAAAGCAAGUGAAGACCAGACCGCGCCAUCGCUAUCGGAGGGAAGUUAAGAGACCUGAUCUGGGAUUUCGAUCAAUUGUAUACAUCUGGACUGGGAGUGAUAACGUUGUGAAGGGGACGGAGUCAUCGUUGGGUGAGUGCUGGCUCUAUUUGCACUAAGAGUGGGUGUGCCGUGUCUGAAGUGGUGUGUUUGCACAAUAAAUCGUUUGAAGUGAAGUUACAGAGUGUGGGGAAGAUAUAUAGAGUUAAUGCCGGACGCUCACCACCCCGAGAGCCCACCACCGUCACCGUAAUCCACACCCAGGCACUCAACUGAAGCAUCUCCCAGCCGUAAGCCCCAUUGCUUAUUCAAGAACACAUACAUGCUGUUGAUUACUUACCCCGCUGUGUAGAUCGCAGGAUCCUCUGGGCCGAACGCCGCAUGUGAUGUCCCUAUGAAAAGAGAUCGCAGGAUCCUCUGGGCCGAAUGCUGCAUGUGAUGUCCCUGUAGAAAGAGGUGGACACACGAAUUAUUCCUUUCCCGGUCUUAACCGAAGCAUCUCCCAGCCGUAAGCCCCACUACUUAUUCAAGAACGCAUACUUGCUGUUGAUUACCUACUCUGCUGUGCAGAUCGCAGGAUCCUCUGGGCCGAAUGCUGCAUGUGAUGUCCCUGUAGAAAGAGGUGGACACACGAAUUAUUCCUUUCCCGGUCUUAACCGAAGCAUCUCCCAGCCAUCACAGGAUUCUCUGGGCCGAAUGCUGCAUGUGAUGUCCCUGUAAAAGGAGGUGGACACGAGAAUUAUUCCUUUUCCCGGUCUCGACCGAAACAUCCACGAGCUCUACUUACCCGGAUACCCCCCUCACUCCGGGACGGGUGACAGACUAUCCUGGCUCUUGCUGGCCCCGUACAGGCACGAAUUGCUGACGACUCCACGCCUUCCCGGCGUCCGAGGUCUGGCUCCGUUCUGGUCGGGAGACACGGAAGGAACACUGAACUUUUAAAUUGCUUUUAACCAAAUAAAACCUUGUUCAUUUUUU